UGCGCCUAUAGCUCAACUGGAUAGAGCUGCAGACUUCGGAUCUGUGAGUUGUGGGUUCGAAUCCUACUAGGCGUGCUUU
rnacentral:tRNA from 1 species